rnacentral:rRNA from 1 species
AACGAACGCUGGCGGCAGGCUUAACACAUGCAAGUCGAACGCAUCCUUCGGGGUGAGUGGCAGACGGGUGAGUAACGCGUGGGAACGUGCCCUCAGUUCGGGAUAACCCAGGGAAACUUGGGCUAAUACCGGAUACGUGCGAGAGCAGAAAGAUUUAUCGCUGAAGGAUCGGCCCGCGUCUGAUUAGCUAGUUGGUGGGGUAAAGGCCCACCAAGGCGACGAUCAGUAGCUGGUCUGAGAGGAUGAUCAGCCACAUUGGGACUGAGACACGGCCCAAACUCCUACGGGAGGCAGCAGUGGGGAAUAUUGGACAAUGGGCGCAAGCCUGAUCCAGCCAUGCCGCGUGAGUGAUGAAGGCCUUAGGGUUGUAAAGCUCUUUCGUCCGGGACGAUAAUGACGGUACCGGAAGAAGAAGCCCCGGCUAACUUCGUGCCAGCAGCCGCAGUAA